AUUAAAGGCACUGCCUGCCCAGUGAUUCUCUUAAACGGCCGCGGUAUUCUGACCGUGCAAAGGUAGCAUAAUCACUUGUCUUUUAAAUAAAGACUAGUAUGAAUGGCAAGACGAAAGCUUAACUGUCUCCUUUAUUUAAUCAAUGAAACUGAACUCCUUGUACAAAAGCAAGGAUAAACCAAUAAGACGAGAAGACCCUAUGGAACUUAAAACACGCAAACACUUUAAACCACAACUUAAAACUUGCAUAUACUGUUUUUGGUUGGGGCGACCACGGAGAACAAAUAUCCUCCGACACAUAAUUUCAGUAAAACAAUACAAAAACUCAAAACCUUGAUAAUAGACCCAAAAACAAUUGAUCAACGAACCAAGCUACCCUAGGGAUAACAGCGCAAUCUUCUCCAAGAGUACAUAUCACCAAGAAGGUUUACACCUCGAUGUUGGAUCAGAUACCCAAACAGUGUAACCGCUGUUAAAGGUUUGUUUGUUCAACAAUUAAAAUCCUACGUGAUCUGAGUUCAAACCG
rnacentral:rRNA from 1 species